rnacentral:rRNA from 1 species
AGUGAACGCUGGCGGUAGGCCUAACACAUGCAAGUCGAACGGCAGCACAGUAAGUGCUUGCUCUUACGGGUGGCGCGUGGCGGACGGGUGAGGUAUACAUCGGAAUCUAUUUUUUCGUGGGGGAUAACGUAGGGAAACUUACGCUAAUACUGCAUACGACCUACGGGUGAAAGCAGGGGAUCUUCUGACCUUGCGCGAUUGAAUGAGCCGAUGUCGGAUUAGCUAGUUGGCGGGGUAAAGGCCCACCAAGGCGUCGAUCCGUAGCUGGUCUGAGAGGAUGAUCAGCCACACUGGAACGUGGACACGGUCCAGACUCCUACGAGGGGCAGCAGUGGGGAAUAUUGGACAAUGGGCGCAAGCCUGAUCCAGCCAUACCGCGUGGGUGAAGAAGUCCUUCGGGUUGUAAAGCCCUUUUGUUGGGAAAGAAAAGCAGCAGGUUAAUACCCCGCUGUUCUGACGGUACCCAAAGAAUAAGCACCGGCUAACUUCGUG